UGUGAAGUCUCGGCGGAAGUCUCGUUUGGUUGCUCCCAUGUAAUUAAGACGCGCAACACCUGCGACCAAAUAGACACUUAAGAGCUCCGGAGGAAAGUUUGGACCGGUGACAAAAGACUUCAGUGCGCUUAUAACGACACCACAAGACUUCCUCACGUUAUAGCAUGCAGCCAACGAGGUAUAGUUGUUUGUAUUGUACAGUUAUUUACGUUGGUAGGAGGUUAUGCUACAUUGUUUGUUUGUUUGUUAUGUUUACUUUUCACGGUGGAUCUGGAGGAGAGAAAGCUCCAAAUAAACCCAUUAUAAGAAAGCCAAUUAUGUCUGCCUGUGCUUGGAGGGAGUUACAGUGAAAACUCGACUGUCCAUCGACGCGAGUGUGCCUUAAUUGACGAUGCGGCAACUGAAAGACCAGCGAGCCUUUCGUCAUCAGUAGGGCUGAAGGAUGAGCCGAAAUCACGCCAUACACACACCGGAUAGUGCAAAUUCUCAAGACCAAGUAUCAGAAGACCAAGCGGUGGAUGCUGAAGCGCAGCAACCAAGAAGAGGUCAGAGAACCAAGACUCUGACAGAGAAGGGUAAAGCAAUACAAGAAGAAAAAACUAUAGCGCUUCAACAAAGAUUCAACUACAUUUAUGACAAAUGGAAAGCACAAGUCAAAUCUUCAAAGCAGCCAUUCUCACAAUCUACAGAGCCUUUACCUGAGGAUCUGAUAAAUGACAUCAUUGGGGAAGUCACAAGUCUUUCUGAAGAUGUCCAACGUGUUUAUGAUGAUCUACGUAAAGUCUCAACUCCAGACCAAGACAUACGUCAAAGAGUGGAUCUGUGUGUAGAGAUGUCUGUUUGUUCUAAACAGAGCAUCAAGUUUACUGGAUGGAAGGAUUCCAGAAGAAGAAGAUUGGCCAGAAGCAGUCUCUCUCCUUAAUACAAGCACCUACAAAUCUGGUUCUUCCUUGAAAAACAGCUCAAAGCGUUCGGGCAGGUCUUCUGUAAAAAGACGGGAGGCUGCUGCUGAAGCUGCUGCAAGCCAAGCUGUUCUGAAAGUGUUACAAGAACAAGAAAGAGAACAAUUGUAAAUAAAGUGCUUGGAAGUAGAAGUUAAAAGAAAGUUGGCUGAAGAAGAUACAGCAGCUGUUAGGCGUUGUUUAGAAAGGGAAGCAGAAGAGGACGCAAACAUUAGAGCUAGAAUGGAAGAAGAGCAUGUAGCUCUACAGAAGACUCUGGAGGACAAACGGAUGGAAAUACAGCAUUUGGAAGCAGUGAAAAGUCUCAAUGCAGCACAAGCAAGGAUAUGGGUGUAUGACCAGGAAGAUUCCAUAAAAGAAGAGUGGAAAACAUGCUGAAGAAUGAGAUGAGAUGAGAUGGGGGGGUAAAUAACCAAGUGCGGGCUCCCACAAGCUGUGGUCACCUCCUCAAAUGAAAGCACAACAGAGCUGAUGAAGACACUAGCAGGUGCUUUAACUGCCAGUAGAGUUCCAGUUCCUGAACCUUCGGUAUUCAGUGGGAAUCCAUUGAAAUAUAACGACUGGAAACUCUCCUUUGAAACUCUGAUCAUAAAGGCAUUCAAGAUAAAGAGAAACUAUACUACCUACGUAGAUAUGCAAGUGGACAAGCAGAGAAAGCAAUCGAUGGCUAUUUUCUACUCUGAACUGAAUCUGCCUAUGUUGCAGCAUGGGAGAUUUUGGAAGAGCGAUACGGUAAUCCUUUACAAUUGCGAAGUCCUACCAAGACAAGCUCCAUGCGUGGCCCAAGAUAGGGUCUGAGGAUAGCUUUGAGCUAAGAGAGUUUGGUGAUUUUCUCCGUAGUUGUGAGGCUGCCAUGGUCCAUAUCAAGGCAUUGGAAAUCUUAAAUGACUGUAAUGAAAACAGACAAAUGCUUUCAAAGUUACCGGCUUGGCUAACAGCGAGAUGGAACCGCAAGGUUAUUGAAGUACAAGAAGAGAUGAACCAAUUCCCCUCCUUCAGCCAAUUUGUCAAAUUUCUGACUAAGCAAAAAUUGCCUGCAACCCUAUCACAUCACUGCAGUCACUGAAACAAAGUGAAGCGGAAAAAACAUCUAUAAUUUAUUACAGUUUACAAGAGAACCUCAUGAUUUACAAUGUAUUUAAGUUGCAUUUGUUGGUCACAUUAUUUAAUUCAGUAUACAUAAGUUUUAUUGUGAAGUCUCGGCGGAAGUCUCGUUUG